CCUGGGGCUCCCCACCCGCCCCAGGUGAUGCUGCUGCACCCACCCCAGAGUCAUGGGGGGCCCCCCCAAGGCGCGGUGCCCCAGAGUGGGGUGCCUGCACUCUCAGCUUCCACACCCUCACCCUACCCCUACAUCGGACACCCCCAAGGUGAGCAGCCUGGCCAGGCGCCUGGAUUUCCAGGAGGAGCCGAUGACAGGAUUCGUGAGUUCUCAUUAGCUGGGGGAAUUUGGCAUGGAAGAGCUGAGGGGCUGCAGGUGGGGCAGGAUGCACGGGUUCUGGGUGGGGAGUGAGGGGUCUUGGAGGCAGGGCUGUCCCACAGGGCGCCCGCCGACCUGCACCUGUCUGUGAAGUAUGUAGGGUGGGCAGAAGCCACAGUCGCCGCCGCCAGGGGCUUGCUCCUGGCUCUGUCCUUUGCUUCCCUCCGUCCUCGCUCAGUUGUGAUCCAGCAGCCCCCCUCCCCACUGCCUCCCCAGCUCUCAGUGACCCCGACUGUCUCCUGACUUAGCCGAGCCCCCGAGACACCUUGAGGAGGCCGCUCCUUCCCAGACACACCCCCACGCCCCCACUGGACGGCAUUGGAGGAAGGGACAGCUGCUUGGGUUCUAAUGCUCCUGCUCUCUUCUCUUUCCCCUCCAACCAGUUCAAUCUCAUCCCUCCCAGCAGCUCCCCUUCCACCCCCCGGGGAACUGAAGAUUGUCCUGGCCGCGACCUGAGACCUCCAUGAGUGGAGGGAAGAGUGAUCUAUGUCUCUUCCCCCAGCAGCUCGGACCACUCCCAGCCCCCCAUCCCCCCGUUCCCCAGGGGAGCUGGGGAAUUCCUGCCAAGCACCUUGAAUGGGAGGGGCCUCACAGAGGGCAGGGCCAGGGUCCAGCAGGGGUGGGGGGUUCCUGCUCUGCCCCUGCCCGUCCCCACCCAGUCUUGCCCUCCCAUCCUCUCAUCUAUUCCCCCGCUGGAGACGGAAGAUCUUUUAUUUUCUAUUAUUUAUAACUUCAGACUUGGGCCCCCUGUUCUUUCUUUCCCAUUAACUUGAGUGACCUGUGUGAGAGACAGACAGAUGCCCCACGAGGAUGGCUGGACAAGGACUUUUACUUUUUAUUACAUAAAAAUAUUAAAAAAUAAAUAAAAAAAAUAAAAUUUUAAACUAAC
rnacentral:lncRNA from 1 species